rnacentral:rRNA from 1 species
GACGAACGCUGGCGGCGUGCUUAACACAUGCAAGUCGAACGGUGAAGCCCAGCUUGCUGGGUGGAUUAGUGGCGAACGGGUGAGUAACACGUGAGUAACCUGCCCUUAACUCUGGGAUAAGCCUGGGAAACUGGGUCUAAUACCGGAUAGGAGCGUCCACCGCAUGGUGGGUGUUGGAAAGAUUUAUCGGUUUUGGAUGGACUCGCGGCCUAUCAGCUUGUUGGUGAGGUAAUGGCUCACCAAGGCGACGACGGGUAGCCGGCCUGAGAGGGUGACCGGCCACACUGGGACUGAGACACAGCCCAGACUCCUACGGGAGGCAGCAGUGGGGAAUAUUGCACAAUGGGCGAAAGCCUGAUGCAGCGACGCCGCGUGAGGGAUGACGGCCUUCGGGUUGUAAACCUCUUUCAGUAGGGAAGAAGCGAAAGUGACGGUACCUGCAGAAGAAGCACCGGCUAACUACGUG